GAGGAGCGGCAGCCCCGCCGUGAACCGCCAUGGCGGCACCUCAAGGUGGUAGAAAGGUUUGAGGGAUCAAGUGAUCUCUAAGCUGUUGUAGGGCACAGAGCGGUUCUGAGUAAUCAACAAGAUUACCUGGAUCGGGAGGCCUCAUUUGGAGCCAGGUCUGAGGUUGGGGGUUGGAGCAGAAGGUCGCCCUCUCCCGGCCAGGACACCGCAGCCGGAUCCCGACCCCGCGGUGCAUGAUGGGAAGUCUGGGAUGGAUCAGGGCUAAGGCGGAAGUGAAGCGUCGUCAGCGCUAGCUUGACUGUGUUGGUCCUGAGAUGACAGGAGGAGUAGAAGCCGAGGAAGCGACAGGUGAAUGAUCUACAGUUGCAGUUUUUCAUCACUUCACCGGCUCAAUCCCGGUAAAUAAAUUAAAAUGAAAUCCUGGUCUAAACUUACGUGACAGGCGCGACCGAGCAAAAAAAAAAAAAAAAAGAAAGAAGGCUCGAGCUCAACUUCAAAGUGUCGCAAAACGGGGAGCCACGCUGCGCGAGCUCGGACUUAGCAGGUGGGCUAUAAAUAACUUUUAAUUGCUGUUGUUGUCUGGAAGCGAAUCUUUAUUUACGCGCUUGUUUUAUUCUGUUCAGAUUAAUGGGUAUUAGUGA
rnacentral:lncRNA from 1 species